rnacentral:rRNA from 1 species
UGGCUCAGGACCGAACGCUGGCGGCGUGCUUAACACAUGCAAGUCGAACGAAACACCUUAUUUGAUUUUCUUCGGAACUGAAGAUUUGGUGAUUGAGUGGCGGACGGGUGAGUAACGCGUGGGUAACCUGCCCUGUACAGGGGGAUAACAGUCAGAAAUGACUGCUAAUACCGCAUAAGACCACAGCACCGCAUGGUGCAGGGGUAAAAACUCCGGUGGUACAGGAUGGACCCGCGUCUGAUUAGCUGGUUGGUGAGGUAACGGCUCACCAAGGCGACGAUCAGUAGCCGGCUUGAGAGAGGGGAACGGCCACAUUGGGACUGAGACACG